UACGUAGGGGGCAAGCGUUGUCCGGAAUCAUUGGGCGUAAAGAGCGUGUAGGCGGCUCGGUAAGUCCGCUGUGAAAGUCCAGGGCUCAACCCUGGAAUGCCGGUGGAAACUGUCGAGCUAGAGUCCGGAAGAGGCGAGUGGAAUUCCUGGUGUAGCGGUGGAAUGCGCAGAUAUCAGGAGGAACACCAAUAGCGAAGGCAGCUCGCUGGGACGGUACUGACGCUAAGGCGCGAAAGCGUGGGGAGCGAACAGG
rnacentral:rRNA from 1 species